GACGAACGCUGGCGGCGUGCCUAAUACAUGCGAGUCGAACGCUGAAGAGAGGAGCUUGCUCUUCUUGGAUGAGUUGCGAACGGGUGAGUAACGCGUAGGUAACCUGCCUUGUAGCGGGGGAUAACUAUUGGAAACGAUAGCUAAUACCGCAUAACAAUGGAUGACACAUGUCAUUUAUUUGAAAGGGGCAAUUGCUCCACUACAAGAUGGACCUGCGUUGUAUUAGCUAGUAGGUGAGGUAAUGGCUCACCUAGGCGACGAUACAUAGCCGACCUGAGAGGGUGAGCGGCCACACUGGGAAUGGGACACGGCCCAGACUCCUACGGGAGGCAGCAGUAGGGAAUCUUCGGCAAUGGGGGCAACCCUGACCGAGCAACGCCGCGUGAGUGAAGAAGGUUUUCGGAUCGUAAAGCUCUGUUGUAAGUCAAGAACGGGUGUGAGAGUGGAAAGUUCACACUGUGACGGUAGCUUACCAGAAAGGGACGGCUAACUACGUG
rnacentral:rRNA from 1 species